GACGAACGCUGGCGGCGUGCUUAACACAUGCAAGUCGAGCGGUAAGGCUCCUUCGGGGGUACACGAGCGGCGAACGGGUGAGUAACACGUGAGUAAUCUGCCCCUCACUUCGGGAUAAGCCUCGGAAACGAGGUCUAAUACCGGAUACGACCACUUCCUGCAUGGGAUGGUGGUGGAAAGUUUUUUCGGUGGGGGAUGUGCUCGCGGCCUAUCAGCUUGUUGGUGGGGUAAUGGCCUACCAAGGCUUCGACGGGUAGCCGGCCUGAGAGGGUGACCGGCCACACUGGGACUGAGACACGGCCCAGACUCCUACGGGAGGCAGCAGUGGGGAAUAUUGGACAAUGGGCGGAAGCCUGAUCCAGCAACGCCGCGUGAGGGAUGACGGCCUUCGGGUUGUAAACCUCUUUCAGCGGGGACGAAGCGCAAGUGACGGUACCCGCAGAAGAAGCACCGGCCAACUACGUGCCAGCCGCCGCCGUAACAC
rnacentral:rRNA from 1 species